rnacentral:misc_RNA from 1 species
GAUGAAGAACGUAGCAAAAUGCGAUAAGUAAUGUGAAUUGCAGAAUUCAGUGAAUCAUCGAAUCUUUGAACGCACAUUGCGCCCGCUGGUAUUCCGGCGGGCAUGCCUGUUCGAGCGUCAUUUCAACCCUCAAACCCCCCGGGUUUGGUGUUGGGGAUCGGCACUGCCUCACGGCGGUGCCGCCCCCGAAAUACAUUGGCGGUCUCGCUGCAGCCUCCAUUGCGUAGUAGCUAACACCUCGCAACUGGAACGCGGCGCGGCCAUGCCGUAAAACCCCAACUUCUGAAUGUUGACCUCGGAUCAGGUAGGAAUACCCGCUGAACUUAAGCAUAUCAAUAAGCGGAGGA